UGAAAGGUCCACGAGGUCAGAGAAGCAGUCAGGAGGGGUGGGCUGUGAUGGGGGACAAAUAGUUUAGAUUUUAUUCAAAAUGAGCACAGAACCCAUCUGGAAGUUUUAGCAGAAAAAUGGCAUGAUCUGACUCACCACUUAGAAGGGUCAUUCUGUAGCUGCCGUGAUCAUGCGUGUGUGUAGACGUCGUGCAGCAAGAGUGCCAGCUGGGAGACUAACUGGGUGACUGCAGUUGUCCCAGGGAGACAAUUGGCUGGUGGCCUGGAUCAGCUGACUGUUGGAUUAUAUUGAAGCUGGACUUUGGGCAAGGUUGGCCCCCUGCCUGGGCUUUUCUGCUGGACCUAUAGAGCAGAGCCGGUGCUGGGCCUGCAUGCAGUGUUGAACCAAUCCGCCCGGGGUACGAGCAUCAGCUCCAGCGCAGCUUGGAGGGCACGCUCCCAGCUCUGAUAACAGUGGAAGCCCCGGCGAGCGAGCGAGCCUGGGACCUUGAGCCGAACGUCGCGCAACCCCGCGCUGCGCAGCGGACUACACAGGCGACAGUGACCCUGGCACCUGGCCAGGGAUCCAGCGCUGGUCCGGAGACACCCAGAAGCUCAGGGUGCUGCCUGGAACACCUCGACCUACGAGUCUUGUCUGGGCUCGUUGGGUCCUAGAAAUCACCCCUACUACAUCCCCCCAUCCGGCCACCCCUUCCCCGUCU